rnacentral:rRNA from 1 species
AAUCGUAGGUCAGCAUACUACGGUGAAUACGUUCCCGGGCCUUGUACACACCGCCCGUCAAACCAUGAGAGUUGGCAACACCCGAAGUCGGUAGUCUAACCGCAAGGAGGACGCCGCCGAAGGUGGGGGUUGAUGAUUAGGGUUAAGUCGUAACAAGGUACC